GACGUACUCCCUCCGUUCGGAAUUACUUGUCUCGGAAAUGGAUGUAUCUAGAACUAAAAUACAUCUAGAUACAUCCAUUUUUGCGACAAGUAAUUCCGAACGGAGGGAGUAGUUC
rnacentral:pre_miRNA from 1 species